rnacentral:rRNA from 1 species
UACGUAGGGGGCUAGCGUUGUCCGGAAUCAUUGGGCGUAAAGAGCGUGUAGGCGGCCCGGUAAGUCCGCUGUAAAAGUCAAAGGCUCAACCUUUGAAUGUCAGUGGAUACUGCCGGGCUAGAGUCCGGAAGAGGCGAGUGGAAUUCCUGGUGUAGCGGUGGAAUGCGCAGAUAUCGGGAGGAACACCAGUGGCGAAGGCGGCACUCUGGGCCGGUACUGACGCUGAGGAGCGAAAGCGUGGGGAGCGAACAGG